rnacentral:rRNA from 1 species
AUGGGAGGAAGGUUGGGAGGACGUCUGGUCGUCAUGGCCUAAAUAAACUGGGCUACAUACGUGCUACAAUGGUAAUUACAAUGAGAAGCGAAAAUGUGAAUUUAAGCAAAUCUUUUAUAAAAAUUAUCUUAGUUCGGAUUGUUUUCUGCAACACGGAAACAUGAAGUGGGAAUCGCUAGUAAUCGCGUAUCAGCAUGAUGCGGUGAAUACUUUACAAACCCUAGUACACACCGCCCGUCACGCGGCGGAAAUUGGCACUGGCAGACAUAAGCUGGGGGUUGUUUAGUUUAUUUUUACCCUAAACAGUAAUAAUUAUUACUGUUUGUUUUUUUUGUUUUUUUUUGUUCGUUUAUUAAAUAAAAUGUUCGUUUGCUAUAAUUAGCAACUGCUUAUAACCCUGGGGUUAAAGACUGCUGCGAAGUCGUAACAUGGUAGU